UACGUAGGGUGCAAGCGUUGUCCGGAAUUAUUGGGCGUAAAGGGCUCGUAGGCGGUCCAUCGCGUCGGGAGUGAAAAGCUGGGGCUCAACCCCAGUCCUGCUUCCGAUACGGGUGGACUAGAGGUAGGUAGGGGAGAAUGGAAUUCCCGGUGUAGCGGUGAAAUGCGCAGAUAUCGGGAGGAACACCGGUGGCGAAGGCGGUUCUCUGGGCCUUACCUGACGCUGAGGAGCGAAAGCAUGGGGAGCGAACAGG
rnacentral:rRNA from 1 species